rnacentral:rRNA from 1 species
AUUGAACGCUGGCGGCAGGCCUAACACAUGCAAGUCGAGCGAGCGGCGGACGGGUGAGUAAUGUCUGGGAAACUGCCUGAUGGAGGGGGAUAACUACUGGAAACGGUAGCUAAUACCGCAUACCAUCAGAUGUGCCCAGAUGGGUUUAGCUAGUAGGUGGGGUAAUGGCUCACAUAGGCGUCGAUCCCUAGCUGUUCUGAGAGGAUGACCAGCCACGCUGGAACUGAGACACGGUCCAGACGCCUAGGGAGGGCAGCAGUGGGGAAUAUUGCACAAGGGGCGCAGUCCUGAUGCCGCCAUGCCGCGUAGGUGAAGAAGGCCUUCGGGUUGUAAGGCACUUUCAGCGGGGAGGCGUUACCCGCAGAAGAAGCACCGGCUAACUCCGUGCCAGCAGCCGCGGUAAUAC